rnacentral:rRNA from 1 species
CCUACGGGAGGCAGCAGUGGGGAAUAUUGCACAAUGGGGGAAACCCUGAUGCAGCGACGCCGCGUGAGUGAAGAAGUAUUUCGGUACGUAAAGCUCUAUCAGCAGGGAAGAAAAUGACGGUACCUGACUAAGAAGCCCCGGCUAACUACGUGCCAGCAGCCGCGGUAAUACGUAGGGGGCAAGCGUUAUCCGGAUUUACUGGGUGUAAAGGGAGCGUAGACGGCAGCGCAAGUCUGGAGUGAAAUCCCAUGGCUUAACCAUGGAACUGCUUUGGAAACUGUGCAGCUAGAGUGCAGGAGAGGUAAGCGGAAUUCCUAGUGUAGCGGUGAAAUGCGUAGAUAUUAGGAGGAACACCAGUGGCGAAGGCGGCUUACUGGACUGUAACUGACAUUGAGGCUCGAAAGCGUGGGGAGCAAACAGGAUUAGAUACCCCGGUAGUC